GCCGCAAUAGCUCAGCCGGUAGAGCAUCUGAUUUGUAAUCAGGAGGUCGGGGGUUCGAGUCCCUCUUGCGGCACCA
rnacentral:tRNA from 1 species